CACAGAUAUAACAAUUUGCUUCUAUAUUUAAUCAACAUCUCUGCUCAUAAAUUAUCAGUUACAUUUUCUGAUAAUCAACAAGUGUUGAAAUUUCAGCUUCAUAUUUGUUUGUUUCUGCUGACAUUUAGAAGUUUUUACCUACAGGGUAUUUUAUUCCUUUUCCAAAAUAAAUGAAAGUCGAGAGGGUUUUGGCCAUCAUACAAACUAAUCACUAAUCAAGCUGUUAUCUUCAUUUUCAAAGGAGAAAAUCUUGAUUUUUCUGUUGUUGUACUGCCCAGUACAUGAAACAGUAAGGACAGUUGAUGAAAAUCACUCCAUAAGAAAUAGUGCAGCAGAUAACAGGAUAUAAAGUUUUCAA